rnacentral:rRNA from 1 species
GAUGAACGCUAGCUACAGGCUUAACACAUGCAAGUCGAGGGGAAACGAUAGAGAAAGCUUGCUUUUUCUAGGCGUCGACCGGCGCACGGGUGAGUAACGCGUAUCCAACCUGCCCAUCACUUGGGGAUAACCUUGCGAAAGUAAGACUAAUACCCAAUGAUAUCUCUAGAAGACAUCUGAAGUAGAUUAAAGAUUUAUCGGUGAUGGAUGGGGAUGCGGCUGAUUAGCUUGUUGGCGGGGUAACUGCUCACCAAGGCGACGAUCAGUUGGGGUUCUGCGAUGAAGGUCCCCCACAUUGGAACUGCGACACGGGCCAAACUCAUAGGGGAGGCAGCAGUGAGGAAUCUUGGUACAUGGGCGAGAGCCUGAACCAGCCGAGUAGCGUGCAGGAUGACGGCCCUAUGGGUUGUAAACUGCUUUUAUAAGGGGAUAAGGUGAGCCUCGUGAGGCUUUUUGCAUGUACCUUAGGAAUAAGGACCGGCUAAGUCCGUGGCAGCCGCCGCAGUAA